rnacentral:rRNA from 1 species
GCAGUCGAACGAGACCUUCGGGUCUAGUGGCGCACGGGUGAGUAACGCGUGGAAACCUACCAUUCUGUACGGAAUAACAAUUGGAAACGAUCGCUAAUACCGUAUACGCCCUGUGGGGGAAAGGUCCGCCGCAGAAUGAGGGGUCCGCGUCCGAUUAGCUUGUUGGUGGGGUAAAAGCCUACCAAGGCGAUGAUCGGUAGCUGGUCUGAGAGGAUGAUCAGCCACACUGGGACUGAGACACGGCCCAGACUCCUACGGGAGGCAGCAGUGGGGAAUAUUGGACAAUGGGGGCAACCCUGAUCCAGCAAUGCCGCGUGUGUGAAGAAGGCCUUAGGGUUGUAAAGCACUUUCAAUGGUGAAGAUGAUGACGGUAGCCGUAGAAGAAGCCCCGGCUAACUUCGUGCCAGCAGCCGCGGUAAUACGAAGGGGGCGAGCGUUGUUCGGAAUUACUGGGCGUAAAGGGCGCGCAGGCGGCCAAUCCAGUCAGGUGUGAAAGCCCCGGGCUUAACCUGGGAACUGCACUUGAUACUGAUUGGCUAGAAAACGGGAAGAGAGGCAGUGGGAAUUUCCCAGUGUAGAGGU